rnacentral:rRNA from 1 species
GUUGGAACACUAGUUCUUGUAUGAUCACCAAAGUUAAGCAAUGUUGAGCCUGGUCAGUACCUAAAUGAGUGACCACUUGGAAAUACCAGGUGCUGUAA